GAAAAGCAAAGAGUAGGAUUUAUAGGAAAUGCUGAUGCCUUCCCAACUAAAGCUAAUAGGCCCGAGGGAAGUAAAUGUUUUGAUUUUAAGAAUACUACCUGACGGUAGGUUAUUUUUCUCUUAUCUGACAAGGUUCUUAGUACAAUGAGAACAAAAUAGUAUAGAUUGUACAGUUUAACAUCAUUGUUACCCUUUGAUAUCUGCCUGUACCACAAUAACCGUUUUGUCAUCUUGUUAGUCAUUUUCACAGAAGCACAUGGAACUACUUCUAUGGAGGAAGAGCAAGACCUGCUUAUUAAAGCCUCAGUGUUCUUGAAUUCAUUGUGGAAAGGGAGUGCUACACAUUUUUCAGUAUGGAAGAAGGCCAGAGCCCUCCGGAUGUCCAGAGUGUGCAGGCUGGCAUCUGUGUGCGAAGAAUGCGGUUUUGGGAAAAAAGGAGACAUUCUGGCUUGUCGCUACUCUCUUGAAUAGUUCUUGGAACUGUUUUAGAUCGUCAAUCGUUCCAGUGUCUGAUGGUACUACGGCGUCCUCUGGUUGUGCAUCAAGGGAAUCAGAGUGUUGACAGACGGGAGAAAGCCGGUUCACUGGAGUCCUGGUCUGAGGUCAUUGAUGAAGAUGUUAAACAACAAUGGACUUCGUGACAAUCAGUGGGUCUCUAGACAUCUUCUUACAGCUGGAUUCAUUGAUUUUAACUUUUGUUUGUGGGCCUUUAGGCAGUUUUUAGACAGUGUUAAUGCUAGGGCUGUUGAUCAAUCACAGUAAACUCAUGCAAUUACACAAUUACUCAUGAUUUUUUAAAAAAUUAAAUGUGAUUAACUGUAGUUUAAAUCACACUG